rnacentral:lncRNA from 1 species
UGAUUGCUUAUAUGGGCAGCUAGCACACCUUAAGAAGUAAGAAAGGUUCAGACAGGAAUAUAAUAAGGCCUGGGAAAGUGGCAGCAUGAAAGGGAUGACCUUUAUUUGCAAUCAUAGCUGAGAUUUACAGUUUAUUACUGAUAGCUUUUAUAAAGAGCCAUUCAGUUCAGAGGUGAGAGGUUUGUCAUCUGGAAAUGCAAUUAACUUUAGCCUUAUCCCAAUCCCCCUGGUCUUAGUGUGAGAGCAGCACUUCAGCAAUAUCAUGAUUUUCCCUCUAAUUUCUUUUUUCCCUACAUUUUUGUCUCUCAUAUCCCUUGUUCUUUGGCAUAAAUGCAGGUGCAUGUUUUUCGCUGCUAUUAUAUCAUUAUUAUUAGAUGCACCUUUGAAUUUUUUAUUAGAUCCAACUUGAUUUUUGAAUGAGAAGAUUUCAAAGAAGAGUGACAUUUAAACUGGAGAAGAGCUAAGAUAACUCAUGGAAUGAAAUUGUGCUAUAUAUGUCAAAAAUUAAUUACAGACAUGGAAUAUUUCAAAUAAAAAAAAGGUGGGGGAGAAACAGUUGAUUUUUCAAUAGCAGUGAUGGUUGCUCUUUUUCACUCAGAGCCCGUACACUGACACCUAUCCUUGCACCUGCACACUUCAGCCUUGAUGCUUGGCAAUGUGCGCUUGUACAUCAACCAGAUGUGGUUGCACUGUGCAUGUCUGAAUACACGCACCCCGUGGAAAACACCACGAACAAAUGCAAGCACUUCUGGUGUCCCUGCUGUGUGCACAGGAGAUCUCCCCAAAGGUCUCUUUCUGUUUCACAGGUUUGCUUUCACAGCCCCCUUGUCUGCUCAGGCUGCUCUGCAGGAAUGUCAGAACCAGACAAAAGCGAGAGCCCCACUCCCAGCCACUGUCCCGGUUUUUGGGAGCCCACCCCAGGGUGCCAGCACUGUGGCUCCAGCCCCUGGGUCUGCCCCGCGGGUCUGGCAGUGCCCGCCCGGGGAGGCAGUGGCUGGCUGCAGGGACUCAGCAAACUCCUGCCGGCUCUGUUUACUCCAGGGUAAACUAGAGCAGAAUAAUUACUACCACUGUGUUUUUCAUCCCUAUUUUAUUCUUCUGCUUUUUAAAAAAUAAAUGUUAAUCUUACCUUCUAGCUACAUCUAUUUACAGUUCAUUAUAGGCUUGUGGUUAAAGCAAAAACUAUAUGAACUAUUUUUAUCUAAAUUAAAAAGAAUCCAUUAAAAUUCUUAAAACCAUGAGAAAUGACAGUCUGAUAUCAACCAGUUUCACGGUCUCUUCAUUAGUGGUCUUACUGGUCAUCUGGAUGCUGCCUUACUCUUGAGUCUGUUUUCAUUUUUCCUAUGAAAUAUUUCAGAUAGUUGUGAAAGGGUGUUAAAAACCUGCUAUGCUUCCCACUUUCACAUAGCUUAGCUAUGGCAAAAAAAAUCUAAACAUUUGGCUCAGAGCACAUCCAUGUCAAACACCAAAUGCAGUUGUAUUCUUAAAGACAAAACAAACAAAAAACCGCACACACAAAAACAAACAAACAAACAAAACACCAUAAUGAAGAAUAUUGUUUUGCUGGAUGGGAACACUCUCCUUCCCUGAAAUCUUUGAAAAUCUCAAAGAUGCAAAAGGGUUUCUGUAUCAUUUAUGAUUCAUAAGUGGAUCAGUGUUAUUAAAAUCCACAGGAGCCCUUUGUUCAUCUAGUCAGUCAAAGAGCUGCCCAUCAGUCACUGUUCUGUGCAGGAGCAUCCUUCUGCAGGUUUCAUCUGUUUUUUCAAUAACCCCUUGGUGUAAAAAAAAAAAAAAAAAAAAAAAAAUCAGCUAAUUAUGCCACUGAAGUACAAAGAUUAUUAACUCUAGAAGACUCUUGUGCUUUAGCCUUAUAGACAUUCCAAAAGUGAUCUCUUAAGCAAAGGAAGCAGGUUACAGUACCCUUUCUGCACUGCAUAUUUCCCUAAUAUGUAUUUCCCUAGCCCUCUUACCAUGUAAUUUUUGUUGUGUUUAUAAAUUGCUAGUGGUCAGGAUUUUUGCCGUUAAUACUGAAAACAAUUAACAAUGAAAGCAAGGUAAUUUAGGUUUCUUAGAAAGGAGAAAAUAGCAUGUGAAGAAAUUGAUGCACUUUCACAAAUCUUGCUUUGUUAUUAUUUAUCUUAAAAUUCAUAUUUCUACAUUGUGUUUCUGUUCUCUACAAACAUGUAGUGCCUAACAGCUUUGCUGUUCUGCUGUGUUCAUGCAAGAAACCUGGCUAGAAACAGAGGUUAAAAGAAGGCAGCAUAUAGAUGACUUUUAAAGCCAGCAUCUAAUUUGUUUGUUUACAUGAUAGCCAGUACAGCCCAGUAUUUCUCUCAGGUUGCAUAUUGCAAAAACAAAAAUUCUCAGAGGGGUCAGGCGUUGGAACAGGUUCCCCAGGGAAGUGGGGGAGUCGCUGGGGAACGUGAUUUAGUGGGCAAUAUUGGUGGUAGGUGGACGGUUGGACCAGGUGAUCACAGAGGUUUUCUCCAGCCUUAAUGGUUCCACGAUUCUAUGAUUUUUCUUAGUUUCUAGAGCCCACCGUUAAAUGUAUGUACUGCAAAAGAGAAGUAAGAGUUGCGUGGCAAUUACACAGGAGACUGUGGUAAAGUGAGCAGUGAUAACAUGAAUAAAAGAGAUAAUUAGGCUUUUUUUCUCUUUCUG